GGAGGGGUACCGAAGCGGUCAUAACGGGGCGGUCUUGAAAACCGUUUGGGUUAAUAGCCCCCGUGGGUUCGAAUCCCACCCCCUCCGCCA
rnacentral:tRNA from 1 species